rnacentral:rRNA from 1 species
UACAGAGGUCCCGAGCGUUGUUCGGAUUCACUGGGCGUAAAGGGUGCGUAGGUGGUCGGGUAAGUCUGAGGUGAAAUCUCCGAGCCCAACUCGGAAACUGCCUUGGAUACUAUUCGGCUAGAGGGUUGGAGGGGGGACUGGAAUUCUCGGUGUAGCAGUGAAAUGCGUAGAUAUCGAGAGGAACACCAGUGGCGAAGGCGAGUCCCUGGACAGCUCCUGACACUGAGGCACGAAAGCUAGGGGAGCAAACAGG